rnacentral:rRNA from 1 species
UACGUAGGGUGCAAGCGUUGUCCGGAAUUAUUGGGCGUAAAGAGCUCGUAGGCGGUCAGUCGCGUCUGCUGUGAAAACUCGGGGCUUAACUCCGGGCCUGCAGUGGGUACGGGCUGACUAGAGUGCGGUAGGGGAGACUGGAAUUCCUGGUGUAGCGGUGAAAUGCGCAGAUAUCAGGAGGAACACCGGUGGCGAAGGCGGGUCUCUGGGCCGUAACUGACGCUGAGGAGCGAAAGCCAGGGGAGCAAACGGG